UCCUCUUUGGCCAAGUGGUAAGGCGUUCCACUCGUAUAUCGUUUAUUGAUAUGGAAAGAUCACUCGUUCGAUUCGGGUAAGAGGAG